UUUGGUGGCGAUGGCGGAGGGGUUCCACGCGUACCCAUCCCGAACACGACCGUUAAGCCCUCCAGCGCCGAUGGUACUUGGACCGCAGGGUCCUGGGAGAGUAGGACGUUGCCAAGC
rnacentral:rRNA from 2 species